rnacentral:tRNA from 2 species
GGAGAGAUAUCCAAGUCAGGCUAUAAGGAAUCACUUUCUAAGUGAAUGCGAAGGCACGUAGGUUCAAAUCCUACUCUCUCCGCCA